rnacentral:rRNA from 1 species
UACGGGGGGGGCAAGCGUUGUUCGGAAUUACUGGGCGUAAAGGGCUCGUAGGCGGCCAACUAAGUCAGACGUGAAAUCCCUCGGCUUAACCGGGGAACUGCGUCUGAUACUGGAUGGCUUGAGAUUGGGAGAGGGAUGCGGAAUUCCAGGUGUAGCGGUGAAAUGCGUAGAUAUCUGAAGGAACAUCAGUGGCGAAAGCGACUUCCUGGACCAAUACUGACGCUCAUGUGCGAAAGCGUGGGGAGCAAACAGG